rnacentral:ncRNA from 1 species
GACCCUGUUGAGACAUGAGAGGUGUAGAAUAAGUGGGAGGCCCCUGGGGGCGCUGCAGGUGAAAUACCAUUACUCGUAUUGUUUCCUCACUUACCCAGCCGCGACCCACUCCGGGGACAGUGGCAGGUGGGGAGUUUGACUGGGACGGUACACCUGUCAAACGGUAACACAGGUGCCUUAAGGUGGGCUCAAGGAGGACAGAAACCUCCUGUGGAGCACAAGGGCAAAAGCUCACUUGAUGUUGAUUUUCAGUAUGAAUACAGACCGUGAAAGCGGGGCCUCAGAAUCCUUCUUGCUUUUGGGGUUUUAAGCAGAAGGUGUCACAA